ensembl:lncRNA
AGGUAUGAGCACCAGUGACCCAAGGUUUUUAACUUCUGGAAGUAAAACUACCAAAGAUGGACUUUCCCCAAACUUAAGGAAGAUAUUUUAACAAUAUGGAAUUAGAAAGUCAGAAGAGGAGGGGGGAAACCCACAGAAUGGAGAAUUCCAUGUCACCCACCAUUCAUAGACACAGGAAGAGUAGGCAACAUGCUCUCCCCACUGACCCCACCAUGAGAGAAUCUGGGGAAGGUCUAAAAUGAACAGAGUCAAGCUUCAGAAGGAAAUGGAUGGCUUUCUCAACGUCAAAGGGUUCACAUCACUUGAAUCAUGGAGAGCUGAGAAAGGACCUGGAUCAGAGACCACUUCACUUCAUUGAACUAAGUUUGUCCUAAAGGGAUCACCAUACACAUUUUACAUUUACUCUAAAGGGGUCUCUACACAGCAAACACUCACCUAGCUUGAUGACAGUUCUUACAGCCUAUUCUUACAAAGGCCCAAACAGGACAACCUUAGAGAAACUAUUCAAUCUCCUCGUGUCUUCCAGACUGAAGGAAAAUAAAAUGAAAACCUCUCCAAGGAUUGAUAUUAGGUGACAUGCCUUGAGACACUGAAGCACUAAAGCAGGGACACACAGUGAGCUAAACACAAGUCAGUGCUUGCAAUGUUAAUGGCAAGGACAGGGACAAUGAUGGCCCCAUCUUAUAGACUGGAGGGUUUCGGGAGGCCAUUCAUUCUCUUGGUGAAUGGCUGUGACAUUUGAUGACAGUGUAAAGAAGCUCACCCCACCUUUGUUCCGGGCCCUACCAAGUCUGCUAAAAGUACACACUGCAACCUUGAGAUGCUGAGACGUGUUUCCUAACCUUUACUUACAGGCAUCCCAAUGGUAGACAACUCGUGUUCCCCCUUCUGAUCAACCCUGAGAACAAUGCCAACCAUUUCCUGUAAUGAAAGCAACUAAAAAUAUUUUUUGAUGAUGGAGAUGGUGAAAGUUGAGCAACACAGAGCAGAAUACGGAAAUGAUACCAAGAGGCACCCAGCCAACGAAUUGAGCAUCCCACCUGGCUUUCAUCUCCCAGAACUGCCCAAAGACUCAAUAUCUUGUUUUUCCUAUUCCUGGAACCUGCACCACGUCUUUCUUUGUACACUCACUCCAUCUAGUAGAGAAAAAAAAUUUAGUCAGCCAUGACUAAUGGCAAAUGAUUGUAUCAAAUUGUUGCCAGCAAUUUAAGCAGCAAAAUAGCAUAACUUUCUCUUCUUCAUGAGCCUCGGAGGAGCUCCAAUGACUCAAGGAGUGCUUCACAUUUUGUACACUCAACAAUCUCUUUCAUAUUUAUGAUCAAAUUGAUACUAAUGUUAUGAUCAGAUAUAUUCCAUAACACUAUCAAUGAGAAUUGUGACUGUCCUAUUAAACCAAACUAUGCAUUAAUGUAUUUUAACUCCCAACUCCAUGAUGUAGGACACAGUCACUGUCCCCCAACCCCCUCUUACAUUGAAGAAACUGAGGCACAGAGAGAAGGAAUGAUCUGAGAUCAUGUCACCAACCAAUAAUGGUCUUUUAUCACCCAAGGCCCUGCUUGUCUGAUGCCGUGGUUUUCAACCCUCUCUCAUUUCAGGGUAUGGCCCAUCUUCAAAGGAGGCCUCAGCCCUGCUAUAAGGAACCCUCUUUUUUUCUUUGCAAAUAAAUUUUUCCUCUUUGCCUGCCUGGAAAAGGUGGCUCGGCAGCCAACUCAGUGAGCAGUUCUGUGACUUAGGAACAAAUAUGUAGCAGAGUUGAGUCUCUCCAGAUGUUGAGCUAAAUAAGGCACAAGAGGAUCGCCUAGAUCUAGAUGACUCUUAAAGCCAAACUGGGAGUGGAGGGAACACCAGAACACUCAAGAGGAUAAACGUUCUUAUUCAAGAGUCCCCACCAUGUGCCAGAAACCCCACAGAAGGCAGGUGUCAGGAUAAAGAGCCAGCCCACUAUGUGAUUAAACAUGACCAUUUUCUGCCUUUCUCUGCCCCACCCUGUAGGAAUACUAUCUACCCCUGAACUGUUGAACUCAAGGGUGACUAUUCAACCAUGCUGGCUGAUACAAUGUUGACAGAGUUGACACAUACCUUCCAGUUCGUGAUCUGCCACCCCAGAUUGGCAAUAUUUCUAAGACAGGCUGCCCAGGAUCCCAAAGAUCUAAAGAAGUCAAGCUGAGAAAGCGUGAUGUGUGAGCUGCUGUUUUCAGAUUGCUGUUAUAGCAACCUGACAAAGCCUUGUUUCACAGGGAAGCCUGAAGGACAUCCCAGAGCUGGUACUUGGUAGAGCCAGAAUGGUUCCCCACUAACAUUAAUGCAUGCUUCACAAGGUCACAGCUAGGCAAGUGCUAUGCAUGUAUCCUCUCCAUUGUCACAGAAAGUCUGUGUCAUUUAUAUAAAGUUCUUACUCAAAUUUUGAAUGAAAGUAUGGCACAACCUGUCUUCUGUUGCUUGAAAAAAAAAAUACCUGAAAUCAGUUCAUCUGAAAGAGCUUAUUUGGUUUAUGGCUCCAGAGACAGGAAAGCCUGUGAGCAUGGUGCUGCCAUGUGCCUGGUACCUGGUAAGGGCUUCUUACUGCAUCUUAACCUAGUACAGGGUGUCACACGGCCAAGCAGAGCAAGCAUUUCCUGCCCAUUUAUAUUCCUCUCUCUAUAAUCCACUAAUGCUAUAUUGGGCCCCACCUUCAUGUCCCCCCUUAAUCCUAAUUACCUCCUAAAUGCCUCACCUCCAGACUCCAUUAACACAUGAUUUUGGAGAUUAACUUUUGGAGGGUACAAUCAAACUGUAAGGACAUUUUAGCUCACACAGCUGAUAAGGAAGAUACAAGUGAAACUGACCAGAUGGCUUGCUAUCACUUGCUUAAGCUCUUGAUAACUAAGUUCAUGCUGUAUCCUUCUUCAAUUGAUGGAGUUGAGAAAGUGAAUGGAUGAAGUGAGUUUGCUAACCAGGAUGGGCCCAGGAGAUGGUACACUCAUGCUUUGAAAGUUACAAGAGGGGCUGGAGAGAUGGCUGAGAGGUUAAGAGCACUGACUGCUCUUCCAGAGGUCCUGAAUUCAAUUCCCAGCAACCACGUGGUGGAUCACAACCAUCUGUUAUGAUACCUGGUGCUCUCUUCUGGUGUGCAGACAUACAUGGAAGCAGAAUGUUGUAUACGUAAUAAAUAAAUAAAAUCUUUAAAAAAAGAAAAGAAAGUCACAAGAAAGAUGUCCUCUGUCCCAAGUGAUGACCAAUCAUAUGUCACUUUGUGUGUGAACCAAAGAGGUAGGAGGGACCAGAGCUCUCCCAUUGCUCUCUUAGCCCUGCUCACCUCCUUCCUCAGCACAGAGCUCCUGCAAAGCUGUUGACUCAUAGUCUCCACAGCCUCUCAUGUCAGUGCAUAACUGGAAAUACAAUGUGGGUAGUACCCACAGGAACUUGGAGGCAAGAGGGAAUAGAAUCUUUCAAAUGAAGACCUUUCAAGAUGGUGAACUCAGAUUACUAGAACCCAUGACAGGGAGGGAGGAACCUGACAAUGGCAGCAUGCACUUGUGAUUCCAGAGGUGGAGGAGGAGACAGCAGGCAGGAAGUAGAGACAAGCAGAUGAUCCGUGGGGCUUUCUAGCCAUUAGACUAGACUAAUCAGCAAGUUCUAAGUAAAAACUGAGAGACCCUAUUACAAAAAGCCAAAGUGGAGAUCAGCUAAGAAAGACAUAAGACAUUGGCCUCUGGUUUCCACAUGCAUACUCAAGUACAUGUACACACACACACACAAAAAAAAAAAACCUGCAUAGAUGCAUAAAAAUAAAUGAAUGAAUAAAGGAAAAAGGAUGGAAGGCAGGCUCUCAUGCUCGCAUGACAAGCACUUCAUCAGCUAAAUCCUAUCUGUAGCACUCCAAUCCUUUUAACACAUGGACCUUUGGGGGACCAUUGUCCAUUCUAUAGCAAUAGAGGCAGGAAGCUUAACCUGUGGGCUGCAGUUCCUGAACUACAAAGUGGGAAGGAUUAUGACUGCUUGACACUAUUGCAAGAAUUGGAAAUGCAGAUCAAAAACAUUCUACUAUGGAGGAAGUAGUCACCCAAUGACAAUUGCUGCCGCUAAUGGAAGUUGCCACAGUUUGAAUGCCAAGUGUCCCUCUAAUCCCCAACUGUGCUGUCUAACAUGGGGCUACUACUGGAAGGUGAAGAACUUUUACUGCAUGAGAAUAGAUGAAAUUCGUUCUUUAGUGGGACUGUAGGACCUUGUCUCCUCCUGCUGCAGAUUCAAUUCUCAGCCACAAGAUGAGAAGUUUGCUCUACUCAAUAUUCCUACCAUGUCAAACAACCUCAUCACAGACUAAAGUAGUGGGCCCUACCUUCCAGGACAGACACAUAUAAAGCUCUGAGCCCUGAUCAACCUCUCUGUGGAUGUCACUUACCUCAGGCAUCUGUUAACAUGAUGGAUACCCGAUUUACACUGAAACUGUUAUUCUGACAUCUGACACUGUGAAUAUCAGCUGGGCAAGAGUCAUAUUUUGCAGGGCAUAUGAUAGUGUGUGACCUAGAGCCUCACCUGAGAUGCUGAGGCAGGAGGAUUAUCAGUUCAAACACUGUGUUUAAGAAAGGAAGGAAGGAAGGAAGGAAGGAAGGGAGGGAGGGAGGGAGGGAGGGAGAAAGAAAGAAAGAAAGAAAGAAAGAAAGAAAGAGAAAAAAGUUGUUUAAAACAACUGGAUAUAGGCACUGAAGAGAUGCCUCAGCAGUUAAGAGUAUUUGUUACAGAUGGAAGCAGAUGCAGAAAUCCACAACUAACCAAUGGGCCAAGUUCCUGGAGUACAAUCGAAGUGAGGGAGGAGUGAUGAUAUGAACAAAGGAGUCAAGAUCAUAAUGGGGAAAGCCACAGAAUCAGCUGACCCAAGCUAGUGAGAGAUCACUGACUCAGGUCUGACAAAUGGGGAACCUGCAUAAGACUGAACUAGACUCCCUUAAUAUAGGUGGCAAUGGUUUGACUGGGACAAUAUAUGAGACCACUGGUAGUGGGUCUAAGAUCUAACACAAAUGGUCAAACUGACUUGGUAGAGCCCAUUAUAUGAAGAGAUACCUUGCCCAGCCUAGACACAGGAUUGUGGGGGUGGAGAGGUGCCUUGGUCCUGCCUCACCGAGAUGAUGAGACGGACUUAGUAGACUUCUUUGGGGAGGCCUUACCCUUUCUGUGGAACAGAUGGGAGGAGCGGGAAGUUGGGGGAGCAGGAGGAGAGGAGGGAUGGGCAACUGGGAUUGGAAUGAAAAAAAAUAAUUUUAAAAGAGAAAAAAACAGAUGAGGAAAGUGGGGGGAAGAAUACUUGUUACUUACACAGAGAACUUAAGUUCAAUUGCCAGCACUCGCAUGGUGGUUCACAAUUAUCUGUAACUCCAAGUACUCAUGUGUUAUAACCUCAUACAUAUAAAAUAAGUCUACAUUUUUUAAAAAUUAGAUUUAAUUCAAGUCUUGGUCAUGAGGUAAAGAACCUGUCCAGCUUCUUCCAUCAUUCCUGUGCUUCAUAUUUCUUCAGAAAAAUAGAACUAGUAUUUCUGAUUAAACCUAGCUCUUCACAUGGGUGGUAUUUAUUGUUAUUUAUUUAGAUAAUUUAUUAGUAAAAACUUAUUAGUAAUUUAUUCAGCUAUUGAAGAACAAUAAAAAGACGUUAAAAUAGAAAAAUGUAUGGAUAGAAGCCAAUAUAAGGUAGACUAUUUAUUAUAAAAACAUGGCAAUGGAUUUGUGCACGGUUUUUGCCCCUCCUCCUAGUGAGUCUGGAUCUCAGCCCCUGACUCUGGGCUUGAUGAUGCAAUUCACUUCCAACAGGACAAUAACAAAUGUAAAGUAAGAAAAGUGUCUCUAAAUCUGCCUUUUCUGACUUCCUUGAGACCAUGACGUAAGAAAGCUUACCUGAAGAUGAGAAACAAUGUGGAAUAAGACAGACCAGAUAGCUAGUGCCUGAAGAAUGAACCCAAGAGAAACUAGCAAAUAAACCAUCCAGUUGAGCCCAGCCCACAUUUUUGAGCCAGAAUUAUGAGCAAGCAUAGUGAUUGUUUAAAACAAGUGUUAAAGUGGUUUAUUCUGCACAAAAGAUAAGUGAUACAUAAAAUCAGGUGAUUUCAUAAGGACUUCAGGCUUCACAAUAAAUCCUCCUUCUCUUGGUACCAUCUCUUAAGUCACAGGUGUGCCUCACAGUCCUGCUUGGGGUUGUUAGUAAGGGUGAAUGGAAGGCUGGACUAAUCAAUCCCAUUCCUCUCACAUGUCAGUGAUCCAAGUGGUUGGUCUGUGGACCCCAGUUUCAGUGCUCUCCAAGGUUAGGCCAGCUUUGCUCAAGUCAAGGCCUGGCUCUUCUCCUAUCCCUCUGAUCCAGCAAGCGUCCCUGGUAUCCUUAAAGCAAAUUCAGUUCACCCUUGUGCUAGCUGGAGUUGGUAUCUGUCACUUGAACCCCACCCCCAGCUCUUGGUUAGCAAAAGUCACCUUCAAAGAGCUUUGAACCCUCUAGAUGAUGAGAAAAGAAGUCAGUAAGUGGCUGACCUUCCCAUGUGGAUCGCACCCUGAUGGUCUUGCAGAGGAGGAAGGGAGGAGGAAGCUUCACUGUCAUGGGAUGUCCCGUGUAGGAGUCCUCCCAGCUCAACUUACCACUCAAUUUUCCCCUUGAUCCACAGACUCAGCAAAUAGAGAGAGUUCUGCC